AGGACGAACGCUGGCGGCGUGCUUAACACAUGCAAGUCGAGCGGUAAGGCCCUUUCGGGGGUACACGAGCGGCGAACGGGUGAGUAACACGUGGGUGACCUGCCCCCUACUCUGGGAUAAGCCUGGGAAACUGGGUCUAAUACCGGAUAUGACUCAAGGCUGCAUGGUUUUGGGUGGAAAGCCUUUGUGGUGGGGGAUGGGCCCGCGGCCUAUCAGCUUGUUGGUGGGGUGAUGGCCUACCAAGGCUACGAUCCGUAGCUGGUCUGAGAGGAUGAUCAGCCACACUGGGACUGAGACACGGCCCAGACUCCUACGGGAGGCAGCAGUAGGGAAUAUUGGACAAUGGGCGAAAGCCUGAUCCAGCCAUGCCGCGUGAGUGAUGAAGGCCUUCGGGUUGUAAAGCUCUUUUUGGCGGGGACGAUAAUGACGGUACCGCAGAAUAAGCCCGGCUAACUCGUGCCAGCAGCCGC
rnacentral:rRNA from 1 species